rnacentral:lncRNA from 10 species
CAAGCACAGAGGGAAUAUUUAGUUGAGAGGUGGUUCCCAAGAGUGUCAGAAGAUAAAAUGGAACCCUGCAGCAAGAACCUGGGAGGAGAGCUAGGAAAUAAGUGCUAAGAGCAAACCCUCUGACAGCCAACCAAACAACAGGGGCAUCUACCUUUCCUGAAGCUACAAGGAAAUGAAAUCUGCCAACAACAAUGUGAGCUUGAAAGUGGAUCUCAACUUCAGAAAGGAAAGAAGCCGUAGAGACAGAUCAACUUGAUUGCCUCCUUGUGAUACCUUGAAUGGAGGACCCAGUUAAAUCAUGCCUAAAC